GACGAACGCUGGCGGCGUGCUUAACACAUGCAAGUCGAACGGAAAGGCCCUGCUUUUGUGGGGUGCUCGAGUGGCGAACGGGUGAGUAACACGUGAGUAACCUGCCCUUGACUUUGGGAUAACUUCAGGAAACUGGGGCUAAUACCGGAUAGGAGCUCCUGCUGCAUGGUGGGGGUUGGAAAGUUUCGGCGGUUGGGGAUGGACUCGCGGCUUAUCAGCUUGUUGGUGGGGUAGUGGCUUACCAAGGCUUUGACGGGUAGCCGGCCUGAGAGGGUGACCGGCCACGUUGGGCCUGGGAUACGGCCCAGACUCCUACGGGAGGCAGCAGUGGGGAAUAUUGCACAAUGGGCGGAAGCCUGAUGCAGCAACGCCGCGUGCGGGAUGACGGCCUUCGGGUUGUAAACCGCUUUCGCCUGUGACGAAGCGUGAGUGACGGUAAUGGGUAAAGAAGCACCGGCUAACUACGUG
rnacentral:rRNA from 1 species